AUAUCAUUUUUGACAAUGCUGUACAACUGUGGCCCUUCCCAUCUGUCUGCUCACCAAAGACAUGGAGAUCUGGGUUUCCCUUAGCACAGAGCAAAUCAGCCAAAGAGCCUGAGGCCUGGGUAGCCUGGGGAAGAGAAGCGGUCUUAAGGGGAAGAAUUUCGAUCAAGUAAUCCUGGAGUAUUGAGCCUGGGUUCCAUGGGAGUGCUACCAAGUCCAACAACAAGAAAGAAAAAAGAAUGUGGAAGGAAGUAAGGAUAAUCAAAGAUAAAGAAUUUAAAUUUUAACGAGAUAAAAUUCCUGUGUAACAAUAAAGCAAGAACAAAAACUCUAAAAGAACAUAGAUGGAUUAUUCCUACAUUGCAUAGGCUACCUUCUCCUGCCACAGAUACUCUAUCCCAUUUGCUGUCAUCCAACGACUAACACCGUUUUCACUUCAGAACGUCAAGCCUUUUCUGUUCUCUUCAUGGCCUCCUCCCAUUAAAGCUGAAAGUAUCUGCUAUCAGUCAUUUGUCCUAACUGAGUGGAUACAUUUGCAAAGUGGAAUCCUCCAGGUGCCUUUAAGGAGUUUACAG
rnacentral:lncRNA from 1 species